rnacentral:tRNA from 1 species
GCGAGGGUACUCAGUGCUAGAGCACAUGCUUAGCAUGCAUGAGGUCCUGGGUUCAAUCCCCAGUACUUCCA